rnacentral:rRNA from 1 species
UACAGAGGGGGCAAGCGUUGUUCGGAAUUACUGGGCGUAAAGGGCGCGUAGGCGGCCUUCUAAGUCAGACGUGAAAUCCCCCGGCUUAACCUGGGAACUGCGUCUGAUACUGGAAGGCUUGAGUGCGGAAGAGGCGAGUGGAAUUCCCGGUGUAGCGGUGAAAUGCGCAGAUAUCGGGAGGAACACCAAUGGCGAAGGCAGCUCGCUGGGACGGUACUGACGCUGAGACGCGAAAGCGUGGGGAGCAAACAGG